rnacentral:lncRNA from 1 species
GUUCCUCCAGGCGGCAGCCAUGACCAUCCCAGGGCUGGAAAGGCCCACACACUUCAGUGUACUUCGCCUUUUUCCAGUUGUUAUCCCCCUAAAAGAACUCAGUGACAUGGCCUGUGUAAAAUAAUUUGGAAUGAUCUCUCUGUAACUUAAUUAUAAUAGGACGUCAUCUACUUGUGAAAACUUUUUGUGUCUUUUGCAUUUAAUCAGUUAGAGAUGUCUGGUUAUCUAUAGCACUGUUCUUUUAAAAAAAUAAAAAUUAUUUAACUGCAUUAAAAUAAAUGGAAGGCAUUACAUAUUUGAAAACUGGGGAAAUUUAUU